GAUGAACGCUGGCGGCGUGCCUAAUACAUGCAAGUCGAGCGAACGGACGAGAAGCUUGCUUCGUUGUUGUUAGCCGCGGAGGGGUGAGAAACACGUGGAUAACCUACCUAUAAGACUGAUAUAACUUCGGGAAACCGGAGCUAAUACCGGAGAAUAUUUUGAACCGCAUGGUUCAAAAGUGAAAGACGGUCUUGCUGGCACUUAUAGAUGGAUCCGCGCUGCAUUAGCUAGUUGGUAAGGUAACGGCUUUCCAAGGCAACGAGGCCUAGCCGACGUGUGAGGGUGAUCGGCGACACUGGAACGUAGACACGGUCCAGAGGACUACGGGAGGCAGCAGUAGGGAACCGGACGCAAUGGGCGAAAGUCUGACGGAGCAACGCCGCGUGAGAGGUGAAGGUCUUGGGUGCGUAAAACCGUGUUAUUAGUGAAGAACCGAUUUGUAAGUAAAUGUGGAGAGCGUGACGGUAAUUAAUCAGAAAGCAACGGCUAACUACGUG
rnacentral:rRNA from 1 species